rnacentral:rRNA from 1 species
UCUACGGGCGGCUGCAGUGGGGAAUAUUGGACAAUGGGCGAAAGCCUGAUCCAGCCAUGCCGCGUGUGUGAAGAAGGCCUUCGGGUUGUAAAGCACUUUCAGUGGGGAAGAAAGCCUUGGGGCUAAUACCCUCGAGGAAGGACAUCACCCACAGAAGAAGCACCGGCUAACUCCGUGCCAGCAGCCGCGGUAAUACGGAGGGUGCGAGCGUUAAUCGGAAUUACUGGGCGUAAAGCGCGCGUAGGCGGUCUGAUAAGCCGGUUGUGAAAGCCCCGGGCUCAACCUGGGAACGGCAUCCGGAACUGUCAGGCUAGAGUGCAGGAGAGGAAGGUAGAAUUCCCGGUGUAGCGGUGAAAUGCGUAGAGAUCGGGAGGAAUACCAGUGGCGAAGGCGGCCUUCUGGACUGACACUGACGCUGAGGUGCGAAAGCGUGGGUAGCAAACAGGAUUAGAUACCCCGGUAGUC